rnacentral:rRNA from 1 species
GAUGAACGCUGGCGGCGUGCCUAACACAUGCAAGUCGAACGGAUUUAUAACGAAACCUAGUGAAUUAUAAGUUAGUGGCGGACGGGGGAGUAACGCGUGGAAAACCUGCCGUAUACUGGGGGAUAACACUUAGAAAUAGGUGCUAAUACCGCAUAAGCGCACAGCUUCGCAUGAAGCAGUGUGAAAAACUCCGGUGGUAUACGAUGGUUCCGCGUCUGAUUAGCUAGUUGGUGAGGUAAAAGCCCACCAAGGCAACGAUCAGUAGCCGGCCUGAGAGGGUGAACGGCCACAUUGGGACUGAGACACGGCCCAG